UACAGAGACUGCAAGCGUUAUUCGGAUUCACUGGGCGUAAAGGGUGCGCAGGCGGUUGGGUGUGUCAGAUGUGAAAUCCCGAGGCUCAACCUCGGAACUGCGUCUGAAACUACUCGACUGGAGUACUGGAGAGGGUAACGGAAUUCACGGUGUAGCAGUGAAAUGCGUAGAUAUCGUGAGGAACACCAGAGGCGAAGGCGGUUACCUGGACAGUUACUGACGCUCAGGCACGAAAGCAUGGGGAGCAAAAGGG
rnacentral:rRNA from 1 species